rnacentral:rRNA from 1 species
ACGGAAGGCAGCAGUGGGGAAUAUUGCACAAUGGGGGAAACCCUGAUGCAGCGACGCCGCGUGAGUGAAGAAGUAUUUCGGUAUGUAAAGCUCUAUCAGCAGGGAAGAAAAUGACGGUACCUGACUAAGAAGCUCCGGCUAACUACGUGCCAGCAGCCGCGGUAAUACGUAGGGGGCAAGCGUUAUCCGGAUUUACUGGGUGUAAAGGGAGCGCAGACGGCGAUGUAAGUCUGAAGUGAAAGCCCGCGGCUCAACUGCGGGACUGCUUUGGAAACUAUAUUGCUUGAGUGUCGGAGGGGCAAGCGGAAUUCCAUGUGUAGCGGUGAAAUGCGUAGAUAUAUGGAGGAACAUCAGUGGCGAAGGCGGCUUACUGGGCUUUAACUGACGCUGAGGCUCGAAAGCGUGGGGAGCAAACAGGAUUAGAUACCCUGGUA